ACGGGAGGCAGCAGUGGGGAAUAUUGCACAAUGGGGGAAACCCUGAUGCAGCGACGCCGCGUGAGUGAAGAAGUAUUUCGGUAUGUAAAGCUCUAUCAGCAGGGAAGAAAAUGACGGUACCUGACUAAGAAGCCCCGGCUAACUACGUGCCAGCAGCCGCGGUAAUACGUAGGGGGCAAGCGUUAUCCGGAUUUACUGGGUGUAAAGGGUGCGUAGGCGGCACGGCAAGUCAGAAGUGAAAUCCCAGGGCUCAACCCUGGAACUGCUUUUGAAACUGUCGAGCUAGAGUACAGGAGAGGUAAGCGGAAUUCCUAGUGUAGCGGUGAAAUGCGUAGAUAUUAGGAGGAACACCAGUGGCGAAGGCGGCUUACUGGACUGACACUGACGCUGAGGCACGAAAGCGUGGGGAGCAAACAGGAUUAGAUACCCUGGUA
rnacentral:rRNA from 3 species